rnacentral:rRNA from 1 species
UACGUAGGGUGCAAGCGUUAAUCGGAAUUACUGGGCGUAAAGCGUGCGCAGGCGGUUCUGUAAGACCGAUGUGAAAUCCCCGGGCUCAACCUGGGAACUGCAUUGGUGACUGCAAGGCUUGAGUGUGUCAGAGGGAGGUGGAAUUCCGGCGUGUAGCAGUGAAAUGCGUAGAUAUGACAUAGAACACCAAUUGCGAAGGCAGCUGACUACGCGAGUAUUGACACUGAGGCA